AUUGCCCUAGUAACGGCGAGUGAAGCGGCAACAGCUCAAAUUUGAAAUCUGGCUCUCUUUGGGGGUCCGAGUUGUAAUUUGCAGAGGGUGCUUUGGCGUAGGCGGCGGUCUAAGUUCCUUGGAACAGGGCAUCGCAGAGGGUGAGAAUCCCGUAUGUGGUCGCCUGCCUUCGCCGUGUAAAGCCCCUUCGACGAGUCGAGUUGUUUGGGAAUGCAGCUCUAAAUGGGAGGUAAAUUUCUUCUAAAGCUAAAUAUAAGCCAGAGACCGAUAGCGCACAAGUAGAGUGAUCGAAAGAUGAAAAGCACUUUGGAAAGAGAGUCAAACAGCACGUGAAAUUGUUGAAAGGGAAGCGCUUGCAGCCAGACUUGCCCGCAGUUGCUCACCUAGGCUUUUGCCUGGGGCAUUCUUCUGCGGGCAGGCCAGCAUCAGUUUCGGCGGUCGGAUAAAGGUCUCUCUCACGUACCUGCCUACGGGUAGCCUUAUAGGGGAGACGACAUGCGACCAGCUGGGACUGAGGUCCGCGCUUCGGCUAGGAUGCUGGCGUAAUGGCUGUAAGCGGCCCGUCUUGAAACACGGACCAAGGAGUCUAACAUCUAUGCGAGUGUUUGGGUGUCAAGCCCGAGCGCGCAAUGAAAGUGAACGGAGGUGGGAACCUUAGGGUGCACCAUCGACCGAUCCUGAAGUCUUCGGAUGGAUUUGAGUAAGAGCAUAGCUGUUGGGACCCGAAAGAUGGUGAACUAUGCUUGAAUAGGGUGAAGCCAGAGGAAACUCUGGUGGAGGCUCGCAGCGGUUCUGACGUGCAAAUCGAUCGUCAAAUUUGGGCAUAGGGGCGAAAGA
rnacentral:rRNA from 1 species